rnacentral:rRNA from 1 species
AGUGAACGCUGGCGGUAGGCCUAACACAUGCAAGUCGAACGGCAGCACAGGAGAGCUUGCUCUCUGGGUGGCGAGUGGCGGACGGGCGAGGAAUACAUCGGAAUCUACCUUUUUCGUGGGGGAUAACGUAGGGAAACUUACGCUAAUACCGCAUACGACCUACGGGUGAAAGUGGGGGACCGCAAGGCCUCACGCGAUUAGAUGAGCCGAUGUCCGAUUAGCUAGUUGGCGGGGUAAUGGCCCACCAAGGCGACGAUCGGUAGCUGGUCUGAGAGGACGAUCAGCCACACUGGAACUGAGACACGGUCCAGACUCCUACGGGAGGCAGCAGUGGGGAAUAUUGGACAAUGGGCGCAAGCCUGAUCCAGCCAUACCGCGUGGGUGAAGAAGGCCUCGGUUGUAA